rnacentral:rRNA from 1 species
AUUGAACGCUGGCGGCAUGCUUUACUCAUGCAAGUCGAACGGUAACAGGCCUUCGGGUGCUGACGAGUGGCGAACGGGUGAGUAAUGCAUCGGAACGUGCCCAGAGGUGGGGGAUAACGCAGCGAAAGCUGUGCUAAUACCGCAUGUGAUCUGAGGAUGAAAGCGGGGGACCAAGCAGCAAUGUUUGGCCUCGCGCCUCUGGAGCGGCCGAUGUCAGAUUAGGUAGUUGGUGGGGUAAAGGCCUACCAAGCCGACGAUCUGUAGCUGGUCUGAGAGGACGACCAGCCACACUGGGACUGAGACACGGCCCAGACUCCUACGGGAGGCAGCAGUGGGGAAUUUUGGACAAUGGGCGCAAGCCUGAUCCAGCAAUGCCGCGUGCGGGAAGAAGGCCUUCGGGUUGUAAACCGCUUUUGUACGGAACGAAAAGGCUCUGGCUAAUACCUGGGGCUGAUGACGGUACCGGAAGAAUAAGCACCGGCUAACUACGUG